AGUGAACGCUGGCGGUAGGCCUAACACAUGCAAGUCGAACGGCAGCACAGUAAGAGCUUGCUCUUACGGGUGGCGAGUGGCGGACGGGUGAGGAAUACAUCGGAAUCUACUUUUUCGUGGGGGAUAACGUAGGGAAACUUACGCUAAUACCGCAUACGACCUACGGGUGAAAGCAGGGGAUCUUCGGACCUUGCGCGAUUGAAUGAGCCGAUGUCGGAUUAGCUAGUUGGCGGGGUAAAGGCCCACCAAGGCGACGAUCCGUAGCUGGUCUGAGAGGAUGAUCAGGCACACUGGAACUGAGACACGGUCCAGACUCCUACGGGAGGCAGCAGUGGGGAAUAUUGGACAAUGGGCGCAAGCCUGAUCCAGCCAUACCGCGUGGGUGAAGAAGGCCUUCGGGUUGUAAAGCCCUUUUGUUGGGAAAGAAAAGCAGCAGGUUAAUACCCCGCUGUUCUGACGGUACCCAAAGAAUAAGCACCGGCUAGCUUCGUG
rnacentral:rRNA from 1 species